CACGUAGGGCGCAAGCGUUGUCCGGAAUUAUUGGGCGUAAAGAGCUCGUAGGCGGUCUGUUGCGUCUGCUGUGAAAACCCGGGGCUUAACCCCUGGCUUGCAGUGGAUACGGACAGACUAGAGGUAGGUAGGGGAGAAUGGAAUUCCCGGUGUAGCGGUGAAAUGCGUAGAGAUCCGGAGGAACACCGAAGGCGAAGGCAGUGUCCUGGCGAGUGACUGACGCUGAGGUGCGAAAGCCAGGGGAGCGAACGGG
rnacentral:rRNA from 1 species